GGAACAAGGACUGGGCAAGACCGGUGCCAGCCGCCGCGGUAAUACCGGCAGUCCAAGUGAUGGCCGAUAUUAUUGGGCCUAAAGCGUCCGUAGC
rnacentral:rRNA from 3 species